UACGUAGGGUGCAAGCGUUAAUCGGAAUUACUGGGCGUAAAGCGUGCGCAGGCGGUUUUGUAAGACAGAGGUGAAAUCCCCGGGCUUAACCUGGGAAUGGCCAUGGAAACUGGCGAACUGGAGUGUGGCAGAGGGGGGUGGAAUUCCGCGUGUAGCAGUGAAAUGCGUAGAGAUGCGGAGGAACACCGAUGGCGAAGGCAGCCCCCUGGGCUAGCACUGACGCUCAGGCACGAAAGCGUGGGGAGCAAACAGG
rnacentral:rRNA from 1 species